rnacentral:rRNA from 1 species
AGCGAACGCUGGCGGCAGGCCUAACACAUGCAAGUCGAACGAAGUCUUCGGACUUAGUGGCGGACGGGUGAGUAACACGUGGGAGCGUGCCUUUAGGUUCGGAAUAACUCAGGGAAACUUGUGCUAAUACCGAAUGUGCCCUUCGGUGGAAAGAUUUAUCGCCUUUAGAGCGGCCCGCGUCUGAUUAGCUAGUUGGUGAGGUAAAGGCUCACCAAGGCGACGAUCAGUAGCUGGUCUGAGAGGAUGAUCAGCCACAUUGGGACUGAGACACGGCCCAAACUCCUACGGGAGGCAGCAGUGGGGAAUCUUGCGCAAUGGGCGAAAGCCUGACGCAGCCAUGCCGCGUGAAUGAUGAAGGUCUUAGGAUUGUAAAAUUCUUUCACCGGGGACGAUAAUGACGGUACCCGGAGAAGAAGCCCCGGCUAACUUCGUGCCAGCCGCCGCGGUAA